AUAACGACUCUCGGCAACGGAUAUCUCGGCUCUCGCAUCGAUGAAGAACGUAGCGAAAUGCGAUACUUGGUGUGAAUUGCAGAAUCCCGUGAACCAUCGAGUCUUUGAACGCAAGUUGCGCCCAAAGCCUUUUGGCCGAGGGCACGUCUGCCUGGGCGUCACGCA
rnacentral:rRNA from 1 species